rnacentral:rRNA from 1 species
AGAGUUUGAUCCUGGCUCAGGGUGAACGCUGGCGGUAUGCCUAAGACAUGCAAGUCGCACGGACUGUUUCGGCAGUUAGUGGCGGACGGGUGAGUAACACGUAGGUGACCUGCCCCAAAGUCUGGGACAACUAGGAGAAAUCUUAGCUAAUCCUGGAUGUGAACCUCGGUUCUGACCGGUGUUUAAAGCUUCGGCGCUUUGGGAUGGGCCUGCGCUGGAUCAGGUAGUUGGUAGGGUAAUGGCCUACCAAGCCGACGACCCAUAGCUGGUCUGAGAGGACGACCAGCCACAGGGGUACUGAGACACGGACCCCACUCCUACGGGAGGCAGCAGUUAGGAAUCUUCCGCAAUGGGCGAAAGCCUGACGGAGCGAUACCGCUUGAAGGACGAAGCCCCUCGGGGUGUAAACUUCUGAACUAGGGACGAUCAUGACGGUACCUAGGUAAUAGCACCGGCUAACUCCGUGCCAGCAGCCGCGGUAAUACGGAGGGUGCGAGCGUUACCCGGAUUUACUGGGUGUAAAGGGCGUGUAGGCGGUCUCUCAAGUCCGAUGCUAAAGACCGAAGCUCAACUUCGGAGCUGCGUUGGAUACUGUUAGGCUAGACGGUCGGAGAGGGUAGCGGAAUUUCCUGAGUAGCGGUGAAAUGCGCAGAUACAGGAAGGAACGCCAAUAGCGAAAGCAGCUACCUGGACGACUUGUGACGCUGAGGCGCGAAAGCGUGGGGAGCAAACCGGAUUAGAUACCCGGGUAGUCCACGCCCUAAACGUUGAGUGCUGGGUGUCCGACAUCUGUUGGGUGCCGUAGCUAACGCGCUAAGCACUCCACCUGGGAAGUACGGUCGCAAGACUGAAACUCAAAGGAAUUGACGGGGGCCCGCACAAGCGGUGGAGCAUGUGGUUUAAUUCGAAGCAACGCGAAGAACCU